AUACCUUCACUUCACAUCCCAUUCACUUAUAUCUCAGGAAUGAUACAAUGUCGACUCCAAACUCUCAUGGUGCCGUUGUUUGACGAAGGUUUCAAUUCCGUCGUACAUACUCACAUGCAGAAUUGGAUGCAACAUUUUGUCCAAUCCGUGCUCCAAAGCGUAUGGAAUAAGCUUAAAUUCUAUUCACUUUGCAGGACAAUGGCAUGGGGUUAUACAGUUGCCCUCCCCAACUUCCGCCAAACAGCUAUCGAGAAAUUAAAUUCAAACAGGUAUUCUUAAAAUGAUAAUGUUGAUUACAAUCUAAUUUCAUCUACUAUCUAAGCCAGGGUGGUAUAAAUAAUCUAGGUAACGCCGUUACACCGCCGGUAAUUCCAGCUACGCCUACUAAAGGGUGUAGAUAAUAAGAAAACCUAUAAUCCAAGUAAAGAAUAGUCAAUGACAAAAUCUAGGAACCCAACUCCUUACUGAUGAAUGGUCCCCAUGAAUCUUCCUCAGAAAGCCGAAUGGAAAUGAAAUGAAAGGUAAGGGAAACGGAAAAGGGAACGGAAGAACGAAGCUAAAUAAAUUCGCAUGACGCCUGGAUAAGGUGGGCAGAACGAAACGAAAAUGAGACAAUGAGCAACAUGUAGGAAUAUGGCUCACGGAUGGAGAAGAAAGUCUGUUUGUUCAUUGUGAGUUAGUACAGAGGGGGGUUUUGCUAUCGCCUCAUCCUUUGAGGGCAUAGUUCCUGUCGAUUGCAUGCUGUCUUCCUGUGCUUUCAGGUCACUGUCCUUGCUGUUCUCAGCACCAAGUGACUCUGCAAUCAUUGAUACUGAUGUGUUAUGUUCUAUUGGAGGCAAAUUACUUUCCACGAAGUUAGUGUUCUCCUUUUCUUUGUCGUCAGGAGAAAAAUCAGUAACUGGUGUUGUGGGUUCUGAGCCAAGAGGGGCUUCGAUGAUCAAAAGCUCGUCCGACAUUUGUUCUUGGCUUUUCUUUGCAGAUGAGCCAGGACGACUUGGAAGUGGAGGUUUAGGUACAGGACGAGAAGCCUUCUGCGGUCGCUCGGGUAAUAGCGGCGGGGGUAAUGGUUUACGUUUCGGUAUGGAAGGAUUAGACAAGAAGCCAAACUUGUCUGGAAGCGGAAGAGGUGUGCCUGGUGGAGGUAGUGGGUGUCCCCGCCCAAUAGGAUGAUCUGGCAUUAGUGUUUUGUUGUCUCCUUUUAAAGACGGCUCUCCAUUCCGUUUAAGAACAUUCAAACCCCAUUUUCGCGCAGCAGCGGCUGCCGACCCUAUUGAUCCUAUAACUUGUCGUUCAGGGGUUUUAUUAUUUGGAACGUCAACUAUAGGCUGAGAUCCAGAGGUUUUGUUUUGUUUGUUCGUCUCACUUUUUAAAGAAAAGCUUGAGCUUCGUGGACUACUGGAUAUAGACAGCGUAGCUGGUGAAAAACUAUCGCGCGUCGAAGGUGUACGGGGUGUAAUAUCGAUUGGUCUGGUCUCGUCGGAUAUAGUGCUGGAUCUGGGUGACACCUGUUUUCUGUGCAUUGAGGAUGCUUCUUUUGGAGGUGAGCCAACUGGCGUUCCUGUGGGAGAGUUUGGCUGGGAGCGGUUAGAUAUCUCAAUCAUGGUGGCUGUUGCAUCUUUUUCCUCCAAUUUUGAAUCCCAAACGGAAUGGUCUACUUUCACGGUAUCUGCUGUGACGACAGGAUCGGCAACAUGUGAGAAUGUUCGGGAUCUAAUAGCUCGAGGGGGUUCCAGUCGAUUUCCUCUGUCCAUGCCAGAGGAAACCGACGAACCCAAUUCCCCUAGCUGCGAGGGUAUGGAUUUCGAACCUCUUCGACUCGCUAUGGCUGACGAAGCUGGCCCAGGCGUUGAAGGCGGAGCCAUGGUGGCAUCAGUAUUAUUGGGCACAGCAACAAGCGGAGACACCGGGUCAAGGGGUUCUUGUUGUGCUUCAGGUUCGUCAGGGAUCACAGUUUUCGGCGGGCGUUUUGGAGGGUGAUGCCAAAUACCACCACGGAAGGUUUCGUGUUCGGUAUCUAGGAAUGGUAUAUCGUCCC
rnacentral:sRNA from 2 species